AGGAGAUUUGGAGACAGACCGGAAGACCCCACGCUGAGGGAGACCCGAACUGCCUUCGGCUGGGCAGAGGAGGGAACCUUAUCCAGUUGGGUAAGAAAGGAGCCGCCUCUAAAACAUCGGGGCUGCGGCGGCGGCGGCUGCGGUAGCGGCGGCGGUGGCGGCGGCGGCGGUGGAGGGGCGGUGUUUUUAGAAGGGUCUGGGACUCUCUCCAUAAGAAAAGAAAAGAGUGUUAAGUUGAUGAAGCCAAGGUCCCAAGUUGGAGGGGAGAAGCUACUCAAUUGAAAGGAAAAAUGCAGUGACAGGCUGGCUACACCGCAUACAAUCUUCUGAAACAAGAUUUGGAGGGGGAAGAGAUCAUUUGUUCCAGAGUCCAUACCUGGAUAUAAAGAUAUAAAAAUUGAGGUACUAAAUGUAAAUGUAAUAAGUUGAAAAGUCAGAAUUUGAACAUUGGUCCUUUGACUUCAAACCCAGCUCUCUAGGUUUGCCAAUAACAUUCCUAUUUUCUUUGGCUAUCUUUACUAUUUGUAUAACAACAAUAAAUCUUUUCUGAAAAACUCA
rnacentral:lncRNA from 1 species